rnacentral:rRNA from 1 species
GAUGAACGCUAGCGGGAGGCUUAACACAUGCAAGUCGAAGGGCAGCACGUCUUCGGAUGGUGGCGACUGGCGAACGGGUGCGUAACGCGUAUGCAACCUACCCUCAACAGGGGAAUAGCCCAGAGAAAUUUGGAUUAAUACCCCAUAGUAUUACAGAUUCGCAUGUUUCUGUGAUUAAAGUUCCAACGGUUGAGGAUGGGCAUGCGUGACAUUAGCUUGUUGGUGAGGUAACGGCUCACCAAGGCAACGAUGUCUAGGGGUUCUGAGAGGAUGAUCCCCCACACUGGUACUGAGACACGGACCAGACUCCUACGGGAGGCAGCAGUGAGGAAUAUUGGACAAUGGAGGCAACUCUGAUCCAGCCAUCCCGCGUGCAGGAAGAAGGCCCUAUGGGUUGUAAACUGCUUUUAUACAGGAAUAAACCCCUNUACGUGUAGAGGGCUGAAGGUACUGUAAGAAUAAGCACCGGCUAACUCCGUGCCAGCAGCCGACGG